rnacentral:rRNA from 1 species
AGCCGAAUUAAGGUGAAACCGCGAAAGGCUCAUUAAAUCAGUUAUGGUUCCUUAGAUCGUACCCACAUUUACUUGGAUAACUGUGGUAAUUCUAGAGCUAAUACAUGCAAACAGAGCUCCGACCGGAGACGGAAGGAGCGCUUUUAUUAGAUCAAAACCAAUCGGCGGCGGGCUCGCUCGUCGUCGUACCCACUGGUGAAUCUGAAUAACUUUCUGCUGAUCGCAUGGUCUCGCACCGGCGACGCAUCUUUCAAAUGUCUGCCUUAUCAACUGUCGAUGGUAGGUUCUGCGCCUACCAUGGUUGUAACGGGUAACGGGGAAUCAGGGUUCGAUUCCGGAGAGGGAGCCUGAGAAACGGCUACCACAUCCAAGGAAGGCAGCAGGCGCGCAAAUUACCCACUCCCGGCACGGGGAGGUAGUGACGAAAAAUAACGAUACGGGACUCAUCCGAGGCCCCGUAAUCGGAAUGAGUACAAUCUAAACCCUUUAACGAGGAUCAAUUGGAGGGCAAGUCUGGUGCCAGCAGCCGCGGUAAUUCCAGCUCCAAUAGCGUAUAUUAAAGUUGUUGCGGUUAAAAAGCUCGUAGUCGAAUCUGUGUCCCGCGCCGCCGGUUCACCUCACGCGGUGUUUAACUGGCGUGUCCGCGGGACGUCCUGCCGGUGGGCUCUACCCGCAAGGGUGGCCCAACUCAAUCCCACCGCGGUGCUCUUGACUGAGUGUCGAGGUGGGCCGGCACGUUUACUUUGAACAAAUUAGAGUGCUUAAAGCAGGCUAAAACUUCGCCUGAAUACCGUGUGCAUGGAAUAAUGGAAUAGGACCUCGGUUCUAUUUUGUUGGUUUUCGGAACCCCGAGGUAAUGAUUAAUAGGAACGGAUGGGGGCAUUCGUAUUGCGACGUUAGAGGUGAAAUUCUUGGAUCGUCGCAAGACGAACAGAAGCGAAAGCAUUUGCCAAAAACGUUUUCAUUGAUCAAGAACGAAAGUUAGAGGUUCGAAGGCGAUCAGAUACCGCCCUAGUUCUAACCAUAAACGAUGCCAGCUAGCGAUCCGCCGACGUUCCUUCGAUGACUCGGCGGGCAGCUUCCGGGAAACCAAAGCUUUUGGGUUCCGGGGGAAGUAUGGUUGCAAAGCUGAAACUUAAAGGAAUUGACGGAAGGGCA